rnacentral:snRNA from 9 species
AUACUUACCUGGAUGGGGUCAAUGGGUGAUCAAGAAGGCCCAUGGCUAGGCAAGUGACCUCCAUUGCACUUAGGAGGGGUGCUAGCCUAAGGUCUACCCAAGUGGUGGAGCCUACAUCAUAAUUUGUUGCUGUGGGGGCCUGUGUUCGCGCGGCCCCCUC